UACGUAGGGUGCGAGCGUUAAUCGGAAUUACUGGGCGUAAAGCGUGCGCAGGCGGUUCGUUGUGUCGGCGGUGAAAUCCCCGGGCUCAACCUGGGAAUGGCCGUUGAAACUGGCGAACUGGAGUGUGGCAGAGGGGGGUGGAAUUCCGCGUGUAGCAGUGAAAUGCGUAGAGAUGCGGAGGAACACCGAUGGCGAAGGCAGCCCCCCUGGGAUAACACUGACGCUCAUGCACGAAAGCGUGGGGAGCAAACAGG
rnacentral:rRNA from 1 species